rnacentral:rRNA from 1 species
UCGUCAGCUCGUGUCGUGAGAUGUUGGGUUAAGUCCCGCAACGAGCGCAACCCCUAUCCAGUGUUACAAUUUCUCUGGAGACUGCCUUGCCAAAACGAGGAGGAAGGUGGGGACGACGUCUAGUCAUCAUAGCCCUUAUGUCCAGGGCUACACAAGCGCUACAAUGGCCAUGACAGCGGGUUUUGCCAAACCGUGAGGUGGAGCUAAUCCUUAAACAUGGUCUCAGUUCGGAUUGUAGGCUGAAAUUCGCCUACAUGAAGUCGGAAUUACUAGUAAUCGCAGAUCAGCAAGCUGCGGUGAAUACGUUCUCGAGUCUUGUACACACCGCCUGUCAAGUCACGGAAGUUGGUCUUACCCGUAGGCUUCUCAUAAGAGAGGACGACGGUAGGGCUGGCGACUAGGGCUAAGUCAUAACAAGGUAGCCGUAGGGGAACCUGCGGCUGGAUCACCUCCUUU